UACGUAGGCAGCAAGCGUUGUUCGGAGUUACUGGGCGUAAAGGGUGCGUAGGCGGUUGUUUAAGUUUGGUGUGAAAUCUCCCGGCUUAACUGCCAAAGUGCUUCGAAAACUGACAGACUUGAGGGCUUCAGAGGGACACGGAAUUCCGGGUGGAGUGGUGAAAUGCGUAGAGAUCCGGAGGAACACCAAAGGCGAAGGCAGUGUCCUGGGGAGUACCUGACGCUAAGGCGCGAAAGCGUGGGGAGCGAACAGG
rnacentral:rRNA from 1 species